UAUCAAUUCUAGUCAACAAUAAUGGUUUGACUUUGAAGUUGAAGGACAUCAAUAAAUCUAAUCAUUUAUGAACAAGAUUGAAGUCUUCAAAAACAUUAAAACUCUUCAUUGGAUGAUGGAAAAUCAACAUGGAGUAAAGAGAAGGCAGCCUAGGAAAAAUGAAUUCAAAGAAGACUAGAAUCCUAAGUCAUUAAUUAGUCUUGAAUUCUGUUUUUUUUUUAUUAGUUUUUAUUUCUAAAGUUAA
rnacentral:lncRNA from 1 species